AGAAAUUGAGAAGAAAAUAUCAGAUGGUGAAAGACAAAAGAAAGAACUAGAUAAGAAGAAUGAAAAGAUGGCACAAGAGGAAUCCAAAAAGAGAGAGCAGGCAGGUUACCUGAUAUGAGUCUACACUUUGUGAAAUUAUUAUAUUUUAUCUAAUAUACUUAGAGUUUCACUGUUUCUACCAGAAACUUUCAGUGUUCAGUUUUAUAUUCUUCCCAUGUCCGCCAUUUUUUUUCUGUUAGCACAAAAAUAUUUAAUGAUUUGAGUGUUAAACUUACUCUUAGCAUUGCCUCCAAGAGUCUGAGUGUGAAAGCGUGGAUCUGCUUUUUAAAUUGUUGUCUCUUGAGUACUAAUGGGUCCCCCCCCCCAGAUGUUGUUGGACUACAAUUCCAAUAAUUCUGUGGCAGGCUAUGUCAGAGAGAGAAUUGUGGGUAUUGUAGUUCAACAACGACUUAGGUACACUGUAACUAAUUAAACUACACUUAGUAAUCAUCAUUUUUAACAUUUGUUUCUACAGAUGACCAAGGACAAUAUCCUACGGUAUAAGCUGGGAAUCCAGUCUACACAAUCUAAACAGAGAGGAGUUACAGCCUUUUCGUGAGUAUGAAAAAUACAUGAGAUUCAGCCUUUUACCUUUGCCAGACCUGAAAAGUUGAAAAAAAGGUGGUAUAUAUAAUCUCUUUCAGGACCAGGUUUAGGCAUAUGUAAUUUUAUUAUGACUGCAAGCUACUUGUCUGAUAAGCAGGGCUGCCAUCAGAAAUUUUGGGGCCCCUGACACAGCUCAAGGUCUGGGCCCCCCGGUGCCUGCACCCGAGUCCGUCCGUCCGUCCCCCUCCUGAGUCCGCCCACAGUGAUGCAGUGUCUGCAGGGCCGGUGCAAGGAUUUUUGCCGCCCUGGGCAAAAGUAAAGUUUGCCGCCCCCCAUGUGACAUCACAAUGCCCCACCCAUAUGAUCUGCCAUGUUAACUAACACAGUGCUGCCGUGUUUACAAUAAAAGGCCUGCAGGGACAGGCUAUAGACACCAGAACCACUAUAUUAAGUGGUUAACUGCAGUGGUUCUGGGGACUAUAGUGUCCCUUUAAUGUGAGGUAAAUUAUAGAUUAGUGCCACGAAUAAUAUACUAGAUUGCCUACUUACAACCAGAUGAGGAUGAUGAUGGGCUCUAGCUGCCGUCUGGCUCCACUGGUCUGGUGUACAACAGGCUCUCUGGAGGCGGUUUGUAACUGUGGUCACAAAAAUCACUGUUCUGGGAGAACGGGAAGCAGCUCCAUUUUUUGAGGGCCCUUUACACAGCUCAAGGUCUGGGUCCCAGGGUCCCCCUUUAUGUUCCACCAAUGAGUUUGUUCACAGGGGUGUGUGUGUGUGGGGGAUGUCCUGAUGUGUGUAAGGAAUGCAUUGUGUGAAUCUGUGUUUGUAUGUGUAAGGGCUGCAAGGUGAGUUUGUGUAUGUAUGGGAUGCAGUGUGCGCGUCUGUAAGGGAUGCAUUGAGUGUGUGUAAGGGGUGCAUUGUGUGUUGCUGUGUGUAAGGGAUGCAUUGCUUGUGUAUGUGUGUCUGUGUGUAAUGCAUUGUGUGUUUUUCUGUGUGCAAGGGGUGCAUUGUGUGUGUGUGUGUGUAUGUGUGUGUGUGAUGGAUGUCAAUCUCUCCCCCUACCCCCGUCAAUUUCCUUCUCCCCCCCCCUCCAAUUUCCUUCUUCUCCCUCCCCUCCAAUUUCCUUCUUCUCCCCCUCCCUCUCAUUGCCUUCUCCCCCCCUCCCUCUCAUUUCCUUCUUCUCCCCCUCCCUCUCAUUUCCUUCUUCUCCCUCUCCCUCUCAUUUCCUUCCUUCUCCCCCCUCCAAUUUCCUUCCUCCCCCCUCCAAUUUCCUUUCUCUCCCCCUCCCUCAAAUUUCCUUCCUCCCUCUCCCCCCCACUCAAAUUUCCUCCCUCCCUCUCAAAUUUCUUCCCUCCCUCUCCCCCACCCCACUCACUCUCCCUGACACCCGGCGGGCGCGCGAGGGAGCACUCUCUGUGUUUCCUCUUCAGCUCCCUCGCGCGCCACGUACUGAUGCCGGAGCCGGAAGAUGACGUCAUCUUCCGGCUCCGGCAUCAGUGCGGUGCGCGAGGGAGCUGAAGAGGAAGCACACAGAGAGUGCUCCCUCGCGCGCCGGCCCGCCGGGUGACUGCAGGGCCAGCCUCUGGGGGGCCCUGAGGUGACCGGCUGCUGGGCCCCCCAGGAGAAGAGGCUGGCCCUGUGGGUACAUACCGGGUCGCAGGGCCCCCUGCGACCCGGUAUGUACCCACUGAAUGUGGGGCCCGGACGACCUGAGCAGUCUGGGCCCAUGACAACUGUUACGGUUGUCAUGCCCUGAUGGCGGCCCUGCUGAUAAGGGAUUUAAUAAGAACUUUUAGCAGAGCAUUAACCAAUUUAUUCCCACAGAGACAAGUUGUAGAUGUAGAAAUUACCAGAACUGGUUUCAUGUGACCAUGUGAUCCCCAAAAAAUCUACAAGUCUACCACUUAUCUUUAUUAUAACAGAUUUUUUUUCUACCAAGCUUGAGCUCUCAUUGGGUCAAAUUUUGUAGCACAUUUGAAUUCCCUCUUUCUUGUUAAACAUCCCACUUUAAAUCAUUCAAAAACAGGGUUUGUGUUUGUUGGUGGUCUACUUGUCAAUCAAACACAAUAUAACACAUUCCUCUGGAUUAUUUAGUUUAGAUUGUGACAGGAUGCUUAACACAAGAAAUACACAUGAUCACACAAGACAAGAACU
rnacentral:lncRNA from 1 species